rnacentral:rRNA from 1 species
CUCAGGACGAACGCUGGCGGCGUGCUUAACACAUGCAAGUCGAACGGAAAGGCCCUGCUUGCAGGGUACUCGAGUGGCGAACGGGUGAGUAACACGUGGGUGAUCUGCCCUGCACUUCGGGAUAAGCUUGGGAAACUGGGUCUAAUACCGGAUAGGAACCAUCUUUAGUGUGGUGGUUGGAAAGUUUUUUCGGUGUAGGAUGAGCUCGCGGCCUAUCAGCUUGUUGGUGGGGUAAUGGCCUACCAAGGCGGCGACGGGUAGCCGGCCUGAGAGGGUGUACGGCCACAUUGGGACUGAGAUACGGCCCAGACUCCUACGGGAGGCAGCAGUGGGGAAUAUUGCACAAUGGGCGCAAGCCUGAUGCAGCGACGCCGCGUGGGGGAUGAAGGCCUUCGGGUUGUAAACUCCUUUCGCUAGGGACGAAGCUUUUUGUGACGGUACCUAGAUAAGAAGCACCGGCUAACUACGUGCCAGCAGCCGCGGUAAUACGUAGGGUGCGAGCGUUGUCCGGAAUUACUGGGCGUAAAGGGCUCGUAGGUGGUUUGUCGCGUCGUCUGUGAAAUUCUGGGGCUUAACUCUGGGCGUGCAGGCGAUACGGGCAUAACUUGAGUGCUGUAGGGGUAACUGGAAUUCCUGGUGUAGCGGUGAAAUGCGCAGAUAUCAGGAGGAACACCGAUGGCGAAGGCAGGUUACUGGGCAGUUACUGACGCUGAGGAGCGAA